UGGUGCAAGCGCCUAUGAGUUGGCAUUAGAUGGUAGAGGAAUGGCUCCUACUAGUGGUCUAAUAUUGGCUUCGACUUGCAAUAGCAAAAAUCAAAAAAAUCCAUCUAUCAAAGUGUAUCCAAUGAGAGACCCUCCAAUAACUAAAUCAAACACAACUCUCAGGAAGUCGGAAAAGGUCUAAGAGAAGCAGAGAGAUGUAACAGAAGAGAGUCAAAAGGUAAUUUAUUUGAAGAG
rnacentral:lncRNA from 1 species